ACAAAUGGCUACCGUAGACAAGCGAGGCACGAAGAAGUCAACUGAUCGGUUUGUGGCCUGUAUUUUCGGACGCUUCAUUUUAUCGCUAACUUUCUUUAUUUCAACAAUCACCAUCCACAUGUUACAACCGGUCAGCUUAAAAUGAAGACUGAGUUCAAUUUCUCGUCAAAGGGUUACAAUAAACCCACUCAUUUACACAUCGCAUUGUUUCCUGUUAUAUCUCGUUCAGUUCGUCACAUGUAGACGAUUGAGAUGUGACGUUGUUGAUCAUGUAAAUAUUUUGCUUGCUGAAAGUGCAUUUUACAGAUGAAUGUGGGAGCUGGGCUUCCACUUUACAAUGGCUGCCAUCAAACUUUUAUUCAGGUAUCUGCAUUUCUGGUUCAACAUAAGUUCAAGGAAAGCUUUAUAGUAGGAAAGUGAAACCGUAAGUCGAACAAAGCCAGUGGUAAAUCCAACAAUGACCUUUUCUGAUUUUGUGUGAUAAUAACAAAAAUGCUGUGUUAAAGUAUGUUCUAUUUACGUAGUCGUAACGAAUCGCCGAAUCGGUAAAGCCAAAAAUGUUAGUUGUCGAUCAUUAAUGUAGAGGCAACUGCAUGUAAGUAGUUGAAUCACUUUUGUCCCUACUGCUUGAAGAUCCAUUCGAGCUCAGGAACUUCUAGAUAAAACCUAAUAGCUGAAGGUUGAAGUUUCUACUUUAACAGGUUGUGAAGGUUAAACAGGCUGUGCUUGAUGGAAUUGUUAAAAAUGAACUGAUUAGACAACCUUGGGAGAGAGGUAACCAAAAUGGUUAUUGCUGCCUUGGGAUUAGAAAACAAUUCAUCUGCUGUGAUACUUUUGAAAAUUAAGUACCUUUUAUUUGUUUAUUGCAUUAGAGUUUACUUGUUGUGCUAACUGGAAACCUUUAUAUUUUAUUAUUGCCUUUCUUUUAGAUAUUAUGGAAGGCUUAAUGAUCUUAGCGAUUUUCACCAGGCUUUAUGGAAUCAAAGGGAGAUCUCACGGCAUGAAUUACCCUAAUCGUCGAACUGGAAAAAUUUAAUGCGAUUAACAGCUUCAGACCAUUAACAACCUGUAACUAUUUAGCAACGACGCAUGGCAUUUGUCACUAGGAUAGGCAUUGAAUUCAGUUGCACAUAAGGUAGGUUUGGAAACUAGCAGACCAGGUGGCGAUGAAGCUGUGGUACACUAGGGAGGCUGCACAAAAGAUGGCGUUGAUUGUUGAAGAACACGCUCAAGAGAUGGCGUUUAUUGUUGAAGAACAAGCUCAAGAGAUGGCGUUGACCGUUGAAGAACACGCUCAAGAGAUGGCGUGGACUAUGCAGAAACCACUCGACAGAUGGCGUUGGUUAUUGCAGAAACCGCUCAACAGAUGGCGUGGAUUACUGUGAAAACCGCUCGACAGAUGGCGUGGGUUGUUGCUGAAACCGCUCGUCAGAUGGGAUGGAAGAUUGCUUAGAGGUAUUCACUAAUUAAGUAUCAAGAUCACCAAGCAAAAUGAGGAUGUGAAAUUUCAUUUGCCGCAAGUCGGUCCGUAUACGUACAAUCCAGUUUCCACGCUGCAAUGUUCGUAGCUGUGUUCCGUCCAAUUUGUUUUGUCGAGCCAUUCGUGAAGUCAAGUUCUUUGUCAAUGAAAAAACUUGCUGAUAAGGCAUUCUUGAGAUGAUUCAAGCCAAAAGAACUUAUGAAUUUUAAUGGCUUCCAGCAAUCUGUUGGUUUGAUAGGUAAUAUUGUAUUUUUUUUUGUUGGCUAUAAUUGCUACCAUUUUCCCUUAGGUUUCAGCAUUUUUGGUUUAUUAGAGACGUUUAUAUGGACAGCUUUAUAGUAAUAGAAUUUGAACAGUUCAGUCAAAGGAACUCCAACGUUUAUCGUGUUAUGGAGUUUCAUCACUGCCGUGGUGUAACAGGUUGUGCUUGUUGGAUGCUUAAGUUAUGAGCUGCCAAAAUUGACCUUUUCUGGUGGUUUUAUGCUUUUUUGUCUGGCAGAUGUGGCCUUAGUACCAGUGAGUCUUGUUUCUGUAUGGGCAUUUGAGACUGAGAAUAUGUGAGAUUCUACAUGGACUGAUUUUGAAAAGCUGCAGUACCAUCUUGGGAUUUAGUCCUUAAGGCGAAACGUCAGCAUGUUGCUGACGUAACAACCAUGAUACAGGUUGUACUUAUGUAUAAGUGUCGAAUGGGGCAUCGUAAUUCAUUUGCCAUUGAUACGCAUAUAGGAAGUACCAAACUUUUCGGCAUGGUUGUGGUUGACAUGGUUGUAGCUUCAGUAGGUAUUAGCAAAAAAAUGAUAAACUUGAAGCCCAAGUAACGCCAUCGGUUUCAGUUGGCUAUAAGAAAAAAUGUUACCGAUGCUCAACCGUUAAGCUGUGUGUUACAUUCAUCUGUUCUAUGUUUCUUAGUAUUGCAAAGAAAAAAAAAUUGGGGUUAUAAUACUUUCGGUGGGAAAGUAAUUGCCGCUUGACGGAAGUGACAGAUCAUUAUUAAGUUAUGGGAAAAACUGGUAAACAAGACACAGUGUUUGUCAAUAAAGCAGUCGGACAAGUGGAGUUCCGUAAUUGUAUUUAAAAAACAACUUGUCGCAGUCAAUCCAUAAAACUUUUUAAGUUGGUGCUGUUACGUUACUCCCAAAUAUACCUUUCAGUACAUUGUGUAAUAUGU